rnacentral:rRNA from 1 species
UACAGAGGUCUCAAGCGUUGUUCGGAUUCAUUGGGCGUAAAGGGUGCGUAGGUGGCGCUGUAAGUCGGGUGUGAAAUUUCGGAGCUUAACUCCGAAACUGCAUUCGAUACUGCGGUGCUUGAGGACUGGAGAGGAGACUGGAAUUCAUGGUGUAGCAGUGAAAUGCGUAGAGAUCAUGAGGAAGACCAGUGGCGAAGGCGGCAUCCUGGACCAAUAUUGACGCUGAGGAGCGAAAGCCAGGGGAGCAAACGGG